rnacentral:rRNA from 1 species
GAUGAACGCUGGCGGCGUGCCUAAUACAUGCAAGUCGAGCGAACAGACGAGGAGCUUGCUCCUCUGACGUUAGCGGCGGACGGGUGAGUAACACGUGGAUAACCUACCUAUAAGACUGGGAUAACUUCGGGAAACCGGAGCUAAUACCGGAUAAUAUAUUGAACCGCAUGGUUCAAUAGUGAAAGACGGUUUUGCUGUCACUUAUAGAUGGAUCCGCGCCGCAUUAGCUAGUUGGUAAGGUAACGGCUUACCAAGGCAACGAUGCGUAGCCGACCUGAGAGGGUGAUCGGCCACACUUGAACUGAGACACGGUCCAGACUCCUACGGGAGGCAGCAGUAGGGAAUCUUCCGCAAUGGGCGAAAGCUUGACGGAGCAACGCCGCGUGAGUGAUGAAGGUCUUCGGAUCGUAAAACUCUGUUAUUAGGGAAGAACAAAUGUGUAAGUAACUAUGCACGUCUUGACGGUACCUAAUCAGAAAGCCACGGCUAACUACGU